UCCCGAGUAGAUCAGUCGGUAGAUCAGCGGACUGUUAAUCCGUGUGUCGUAGGUUCGAGUCCUACCUCGGGAGCCA
rnacentral:tRNA from 11 species